rnacentral:rRNA from 1 species
GACGGAGGGGGCUAGCGUUGUUCGGAAUGACUGGGCGUAAAGAGCGCGUAGGCGGUUUAUUAAGUGAGGCGUGAAAGCCCUGGGCUUAACCCAGGAGGUGCGUUUCAUACUGAUAGACUAGAGUACGAGAGAGGAAAGCGGAAUUCCUAGUGUAGAGGUGAAAUUCGUAGAUAUUAGGAAGAACACCAGUGGCGAAGGCGGCUUUCUGGCUCGUAACUGACGCUGAGGCGCGAAAGCGUGGGGAGCAAACAGG